rnacentral:rRNA from 1 species
GGGUUGUGAGGUUAAGCGACUAAGCGUACACGGUGGAUGCCCUGGCAGUCAGAGGCGAUGAAGGACGUGCUAAUCUGCGAAAAGCGCCGGCGAGGUGAUAUGAACCCUUGACCCGGCGAUGUCCGAAUGGGGAAACCCAGUGCAAUCCGUUGCACUAUCGUUAACUGAAUACAUAGGUUAACGAGGCGAACCGGGGGAACUGAAACAUCUAAGUACCCCGAGGAAAAGAAAUCAACCGAGAUUCCCCCAGUAGCGGCGAGCGAACGGGGAGCAGCCCGGAGUCUGAAUCAGCUUGUGUGUUAGUGGAACGGUCUGGAAAGUCCGACGGUACAGGGUGAUAGUCCCGUACACGAAAGCACACAUGCUGUGAACUCGAAGAGUAGGGCGGGACACGUGGUAUCCUGUCUGAAUAUGGGGGGACCAUCCUCCAAGGCUAAAUACUCCUGACUGACCGAUAGUGAACCAGUACCGUGAGGGAAAGGCGAAAAGAACCCCGGCGAGGGGAGUGAAAAAGAACCUGAAACCGUGUACGUACAAGCAGUGGGAGCCUCUUUAUGGGGUGACUGCGUACCUUUUGUAUAAUGGGUCAGCGACUUAUAUUCUGUAGCAAGGUUAACCGUAUAGGGGAGCCGAAGGGAAACCGAGUCUUAACUGGGCGUUAAGUUGCAGGGUAUAGACCCGAAACCCGGUGAUCUAGCCAUGGGCAGGUUGAAGGUUGGGUAACACUAACUGGAGGACCGAACCGACUAAUGUUGAAAAAUUAGCGGAUGACCUGUGGCUGGGGGUGAAAGGCCAAUCAAACCGGGAGAUAGCUGGUUCUCCCCGAAAGCUAUUUAGGUAGCGCCUCGUGAACUCAUCUUCGGGGGUAGAGCACUGUUUCGGCUAGGGGGCCAUCCCGGCUUACCAACCCGAUGCAAACUACGAAUACCGAAGAAUGUUAUCACGGGAGACACACGGCGGGUGCUAACGUCCGUCGUGAAGAGGGAAACAACCCAGACCGCCAGCUAAGGUCCCAAAGUCAUGGUUAAGUGGGAAACGAUGUGGGAAGGCACAGACAGCCAGGAUGUUGGCUUAGAAGCAGCCAUCAUUUAAAGAAAGCGUAAUAGCUCACUGGUCGAGUCGGCCUGCGCGGAAGAUGUAACGGGGCUAAACCAUGCACCGAAGCUGCGGCAGCGACACUAUGUGUUGUUGGGUAGGGGAGCGUUCUGUAAGCCGUUGAAGGUGUGCUGUGAGGCAUGCUGGAGGUAUCAGAAGUGCGAAUGCUGACAUAAGUAACGAUAAAGCGGGUGAAAAGCCCGCUCGCCGGAAGACCAAGGGUUCCUGUCCAACGUUAAUCGGGGCAGGGUGAGUCGACCCCUAAGGCGAGGCCGAAAGGCGUAGUCGAUGGGAAACAGGUUAAUAUUCCUGUACUUGGUGUUACUGCGAAGGGGGGACGGAGAAGGCUAUGUCAGCCGGGCGACGGUUGUCCCGGUUUAAGCAUGUAGGCGGAGGUUCCAGGUAAAUCCGGUACCUUAUUAACGCUGAGGUGUGAUGACGAGGCACUACGGUGCUGAAGUGAUAAAUGCCCUGCUUCCAGGAAAAGCCUCUAAGCAUCAGGUAACACGAAAUCGUACCCCAAACCGACACAGGUGGUCAGGUAGAGAAUACCAAGGCGCUUGAGAGAACUCGGGUGAAGGAACUAGGCAAAAUGGUGCCGUAACUUCGGGAGAAGGCACGCUGAUGUGUAGGUGAAGCCCCUGCGGGCGGAGCUGAAAUCAGUCGAAGAUACCAGCUGGCUGCAACUGUUUAUUAAAAACACAGCACUGUGCAAACACGAAAGUGGACGUAUACGGUGUGACGCCUGCCCGGUGCCGGAAGGUUAAUUGAUGGGGUUAGCGGCAACGCGAAGCUCUUGAUCGAAGCCCCGGUAAACGGCGGCCGUAACUAUAACGGUCCUAAGGUAGCGAAAUUCCUUGUCGGGUAAGUUCCGACCUGCACGAAUGGCGUAAUGAUGGCCAGGCUGUCUCCACCCGAGACUCAGUGAAAUUGAACUCGCUGUGAAGAUGCAGUGUACCCGCGGCAAGACGGAAAGACCCCGUGAACCUUUACUAUAGCUUGACACUGAACACUGGUCCUUGAUGUGUAGGAUAGGUGGGAGGCUUUGAAGCGUGGACGCCAGUCUGCGUGGAGCCAACCUUGAAAUACCACCCUUUAAUGGCUGGUGUUCUAACGUAGACCCGUAAUCCGGGUUGCGGACAGUGUCUGGUGGGUAGUUUGACUGGGGCGGUCUCCUCCCAAAGAGUAACGGAGGAGCACGAAGGUUGGCUAAUCCUGGUCGGACAUCAGGAGGUUAGUGCAAUGGCAUAAGCCAGCUUGACUGCGAGCGUGACGGCGCGAGCAGGUGCGAAAGCAGGUCAUAGUGAUCCGGUGGUUCUGAAUGGAAGGGCCAUCGCUCAACGGAUAAAAGGUACUCCGGGGAUAACAGGCUGAUACCGCCCAAGAGUUCAUAUCGACGGCGGUGUUUGGCACCUCGAUGUCGGCUCAUCACAUCCUGGGGCUGAAGUAGGUCCCAAGGGUAUGGCUGUUCGCCAUUUAAAGUGGUACGCGAGCUGGGUUUAGAACGUCGUGAGACAGUUCGGUCCCUAUCUGCCGUGGGCGCUGGAGAAUUGAGGGGGGCUGCUCCUAGUACGAGAGGACCGGAGUGGACGCAUCACUGGUGUUCGGGUUGUCAUGCCAAUGGCACUGCCCGGUAGCUAAAUGCGGAAGAGAUAAGUGCUGAAAGCAUCUAAGCACGAAACUUGCCCCGAGAUGAGUUCUCCCUGAGACUUUAAGUCUCCUGAAGGAACGUUGAAGACGACGACGUUGAUAGGUCGGGUGUGUAAGCGCAGCGAUGCGUUGAGCUAACCGAUACUAAUGAACCGUGAGGCUUAACCUUACAACGCCGAAG